CAUUUGACGUUAGCUGCAGAAGAAGCACCGGCUAACUCCGUGCCAGCAGCCGCGGUAAUACGGAGGGUGCGAGCGUUAAUCGGAAUUACGUGGGCGUAAAAGCGCAUGCAGGUGGUUUGUUAAGUCAGAUGUGAAAGCCCGGGGCUCAACCUCGGAAUUGCAUUUGAAACUGGCAAACUAGAGUACUGUAGAGGGGGGUAGAAUUUCAGGUGUAGCGGUGAAAAUGCGUAGAGAUCUGAAGGAAUACCGGUGGCGAAGGCGGCCCCCUCGGACAGAUACUGACACUCAGAUGCGAAAGCGUGGGGAGCAAACAGGAUUAGAUACCCUGGUAG
rnacentral:rRNA from 1 species